UUUGAUUGCUUUUUCAAAAGGCAGAAAAUUGAAAUAACUUAAUGCUGCUCGGAAAAUGAUACCUUUCUAUAGAAGGAAAGAAUCUCUGGGGACACCUAGAGCUUUCAUGUGAGCUGUUACUGAUGCAUUGGUCUCAUGGCCACAGGCUUCCUGGAAGCCACGGGAUGGGCUGUGCUUGCUCAUGCUAGUGAAAGGGUGUCUCACUUUUCUCCUACACAGAGGGUCAGUGUGUUUGCUUCUCUAGUAGUGUCCUUUUGACCACCCCCCCUUUUUUUAAUAUGAGAGAAGGAACAACGAUCCCCAUAAGAUAGUUAUAAAUUGAUGUAUUUCAGAUAUGAUCAGAUCUCUGUUUAUGGCAUGUGGCAUCCAGUUCACUAAGGAUGUUCUUACUUACUUAAAACACCACUCUUGUUAUAGCCCCCUCUGACAUCCCAACCUAUGUGAUUAGCCUGCUUUAUAGCAC
rnacentral:lncRNA from 1 species